UGGGGAAUUUUGGACAAUGGGCGAAAGCCUGAUCCAGCAAUGCCGCGUGCAGGAUGAAGGCCUUCGGGUUGUAAACUGCUUUUGUACGGAACGAAAAAGCUCCUUCUAAUACAGGGGGCCCAUGACGGUACCGUAAGAAUAAGCACCGGCUAACUACGUGCCAGCAGCCGCGGUAAUACGUAGGGUGCGAGCGUUAAUCGGAAUUACUGGGCGUAAAGCGUGCGCAGGCGGUUAUGUAAGACAGAUGUGAAAUCCCCGGGCUCAACCUGGGAACUGCAUUUGUGACUGCAUGGCUAGAGUACGGUAGAGGGGGAUGGAAUUCCGCGUGUAGCAGUGAAAUGCGUAGAUAUGCGGAGGAACACCGAUGGCGAAGGCAAUCCCCUGGACCUGUACUGACGCUCAUGCACGAAAGCGUGGGGAGCAAACAGGAUUAG
rnacentral:rRNA from 1 species